rnacentral:rRNA from 1 species
GUAGUCCUAGCCGUAAACGAUGUCGACUAGAUCGCGGCGGCUCUGACGCCGUCGCGGUCGAAGUAAAAAUGUUAAGUCGACCGCCUGGGAAGUACGGUCGCAAGGCUAAAACUCAAAGGAAUUGACGGGGGCUCACACAAGCGGUGGAGCAUGUGGUUCAAUUCGAAGCAACGCGCAGAACCUUACCUGGGCUUGACAUGCUAGGAUUACCCGGAUGAAAGUUCGGUAGGCCCCGCAAGGGGUACAACUAGUACAGGUGCUGCAUGGCUGUCGUCAGCUCGUGUCGUGAGAUGUCGGGUUAAGUCCCUUAACGAGCGAAACCUUUGCCCUUAGUUACUAACAGGUAAUGCUGAGGACUCUAAGGGGACUGCCGGUGUCAAACCGGA